GUGGUGGUAGGUUAAAUUUUAAAGACCAUGGGUCUUCAAAACUUAAAAUACCACAUUAAGAUUGGUUCACCACG
rnacentral:tRNA from 1 species